AGAACCCCCAAGCUCAGCUCAGUGGAAGCUAAGCAAUUGGACAAAGCCAUCUAAACCCAAAGCAAUGGCUUGAUGGAGUUCACCAAGGAGGAUCUUGCUCUGAUCUAAAUAUACAGUGGAAAUCUGAUGUGAUCUAGGCUGCUGCACCUCAUCCACUAAAAUCAAAUCCUGGAAAAGAUUUCUAUGAGAUGGUUUCUGUCAUUCUUCCUAAACUGGGAGCUAAGUGAUUAAUAUAGAGGAAAACUCACAGAUAAACAUAUCUCUGCAAAUGCAAAUAAGUACUAAAGUGCUGGUAACCAACAUCCCCAUCCCGGUUCCUCUUAGCACUUCAGUCAAAGGCACACUUCGAACAGAAGAAUCUGAACCACAAAUUAAGCCAGUCUCUACUACCUUCAGAAAGGCUUCCAGAAGUCAUUUUCCUCCCAGACCUCCUAGAUUUCUAAUUUCUCUAUUCCUGCUAGGAGGGACACUACUACCCAAUCUAGGAGUAUCUUGGAAGAUUCAAGUGGGAAACCAUUCAGAUCUGUCUCUUCCCCUCAUCGCAUCAACAUUUUAAUCUGUCUCUACACAAUGCAGGAUUCACAAGGAAAGUCUCAAAUCCCAUAGCGUUGCUUACAAGCAGCGUGACAACAAGGAUGAAGCCAGAGAGGCACCUAUGGUACAAAAUUUUAAAAGCAUGAAUUUCCCUCAACGUUAAGAAGAGAUGGAAUGUUCAUAAUGAGGAAGAAGUCUUCUGAUUUUCUAAAUAGGUAAUCACAACACAGAAGAGUGAAGAAGGACACAGGCUCUUAGCCACCAUGGCCUAAAACUGUCCCACACCUCUUCAACUCACAUCCUACUGUCCACAACCAGUCAUCAGUCAUGUGCAACGCUCACACAUAAAAGCCCUGGAAAAUGAAGGCCAGUGAUUUGCCUAGGAAAAGUAGUAAGUAGAUUUGGUGCCAGUCACAGGUGGAGACUCGAUUGCUGCUAUUAGACCUCUGUUCUAAAUAGCAGGCAUAAGGAACAGUAAGUGGGUUUGGUUUGGUGGUUCCUCAUACAUCAUGGUUGAGGGUCUUUCAUCAGUUCUUAGACUUGAUAAUGUCACCAACAUUUUGGAUCCUAACCAGUGCAAAGUAUAUUGCUUUUAGUUUUUGGUAUGCACACAACAUAGAUACAUAUCAAUUGGUUCAUUUUUCAAUAUCUUUAUUGUUCUUUAUCUUAUGUUUUCAAAAUGGAGAAAGCCUUAUAAAGGAAGGAAAUUCUGACACGUGCCACAACAUAUAUGAAUGUAAAAGACAUUAUAUUAAGUGAAAUAUAUAUAUGUCUUUGCCACAAGGACUGAGAAGAGUGCCUAACACUUUAACACACACUGUUAAGUGUGGGUUAUUAUUAUUACCAUGCCAUGUGUUAAUAGUAACUAGAGCAAUUAUACUUAAAAUAGUUCUUGAUACUUAAAAAGUCAUAUUUGCUGGACUAAGCAUUCUUUUUGUCAUUUUUUCAUACAUCAUGGUUCAGGGUCUUUCAUCAGUUCUCAGACUUUAUAGUGUCACCAUCAUCUUGGAUCCUAACCAAUGCAAACUGUAUUGCUUUUCGUUUUUAGUAUGCACACAAUAUAGACUCACAUCAAUUGGUUGCUUUUUUAAUAUCUUUAUUUUUCUUCAUCUUAUGUUGUCCCUGAAUCCAUGCCUUGCAUUUAACUAAGACUUAGCUUCAGGACAUGCCAUUGAUCAGAGAUUUCAAAAUAUGAGUUUUGACUCACGGGUGAGACAAGGAUAUUUCAGUGGAUCUAAAAUGUGCUUCUAUAAUGGAAUAGAAAAAAAUAUAUAUAUAUAUGUAUAGCUUGUUGUUAGAUUUAAAUGAGUUUGUAUAUGUAAAUCAUUAGAACACUAAAUUUUCAAAAUGAAGAAAACCUUAUAAAGGAAUGAAAUUCUGACAUAUGUUACAACAUGUAUGAAUCUAGAAGACAUUAUAUUAAGUGAAAUAAACCAAUCACAAGAGAAUAAAUAUUAUAUGAUUCCACUUAUAUGAGGUCAAGAGCAGUCAAGUUCACAGAGACAGCAAGUAAAAUGGUGGUUGCCAGGGAAUGGAGUCAUGGGGAAUUAUUGUUGAAUGGGUACAAAGUUUCAAUUUAGGAAAAUUAAAAAUAUUCUAGAGAUGGAUGGGGUGGUAGCUGCUCAAUAUAUGAAUUUACUUAAUGCUACUGAACUGUGUGUUUAAACAUGGUUAAAAUGGUCAAUUUUAUGUUGUUAUUUU